rnacentral:rRNA from 1 species
AACGAACGCUGGCGGCAGGCUUAACACAUGCAAGUCGAACGCCCCGCAAGGGGAGUGGCAGACGGGUGAGUAACGCGUGGGAAUCUACCCAGUUCUACGGAAUAACCCAGGGAAACUUGGACUAAUACCGUAUACGCCCUACGGGGGAAAGAUUUAUCGGUAAAGGAUCGGCCCGCGUUGGAUUAGCUAGUUGGUGGGGUAAAGGCCUACCAAGGCGACGAUCCAUAGCUGGUCUGAGAGGAUGAUCAGCCACAUUGGGACUGAGACACGGCCCAAACUCCUACGGGAGGCAGCAGUGGGGAAUAUUGGACAAUGGGCGCAAGCCUGAUCCAGCCAUGCCGCGUGAGUGAUGAAGGCCUUAGGGUUGUAAAGCUCUUUCACCGAUGAAGAUAAUGACGGUAGUCGGAGAAGAAGCCCCGGCUAACUUCGUGCCAGCCGCCGCAGUAACAC